rnacentral:rRNA from 1 species
UACAGAGGUGCCAAGCGUUGUUCGGAUUUACUGGGCGUAAAGGGUGCGUAGGUGGUUUGGUAAGUCAAAUGUGAAAUCCUGCAGCUCAACUGCAGAACUGCAUUCGAAACUGCCAAGCUAGAGUACUGGAGAGGAGAUCGGAAUUCUCGGUGUAGCAGUGAAAUGCGUAGAUAUCGAGAGGAACACCAGUGGCGAAGGCGGAUCUCUGGACAGUUACUGACACUGAGGCACGAAAGCCAGGGGAGCAAACGGG